rnacentral:rRNA from 1 species
AGUCGAACGGCAGCACGGGAGCAAUCCUGGUGGCGAGUGGCGAACGGGUGAGUAAUACAUCGGAACGUGUCCUGGAGUGGGGGAUAGCCCGGCGAAAGCCGGAUUAAUACCGCAUACGCUCUGAGGAGGAAAGGGGGGGAUCUUAGGACCUCUCGCUCAAGGGGCGGCCGAUGGCAGAUUAGCUAGUUGGUGGGGUAAAGGCCUACCAAGGCGACGAUCUGUAGCUGGUCUGAGAGGACGACCAGCCACACUGGGACUGAGACACGGCCCAGACUCCUACGGGAGGCAGCAGUGGGGAAUUUUGGACAAUGGGGGCAACCCUGAUCCAGCAAUGCCGCGUGUGUGAAGAAGGCCUUCGGGUUGUAAAGCACUUUUGUCCGGAAAGAAAACUUCGGGGUUAAUACCCCUGGAGGAUGACGGUACCGGAAGAAUAAGCACCGGCUAACUACGUGCCAGCAGCCGCGGUAAUACGUAGGGUGCGAGCGUUAAUCGGAAUUACUGGGCGUAAAGCGUGCGCAGGCGGUCCGCUAAGACCGAUGUGAAAUCCCCGGGCUUAACCUGGGAACUGCAUUGGUGACUGGCGGGCUAGAGUAUGGCAGAGGGGGGUAGAAUUCCACGUGUAGCAGUGAAAUGCGUAGAGAUGUGGAGGAAUACCGAUGGCGAAGGCAGCCCCCUGGGCCAAUACUGACGCUCAUGCACGAAAGCGUGGGGAGCAAACAGGAUUAGAUACCCUGGUAGUCCACGCCCUAAACGAUGUCAACUAGUUGUCGGGUCUUCAUUGACUUGGUAACGUAGCUAACGCGUGAAGUUGACCGCCUGGGGAGUACGGUCGCAAGAUUAAAACUCAAAGGAAUUGACGGGGACCCGCACAAGCGGUGGAUGAUGUGGAUUAAUUCGAUGCAACGCGAAAAACCUUACCUACCCUUGACAUGUAUGGAAUCCUGCUGAGAGGUGGGAGUGCCCGAAAGGGAGCCAUAACACAGGUGCUGCAUGGCUGUCGUCAGCUC